UUGGGCCGGAAGUUAACCCAAAUUAUAGGCAGCGACAUACCUUUUACUGUUCGUCUCUUGCUCUAUCAAGCUCACUCGGCUGUUUUCAGAAAGUAGAAUUAUAUUCUAGGGCUUCAGUUUUUGUAUCUGCACUUGGAAUUGCAGUUGAAAAAUGGCGGACGAAGCAAAUAGAACUGCUUUUAUUGAAAUUCAGGGUCGAAUGAUAGAGACUACCGGGAAAUUGAAGCAGGUUCAAACCCAGAUUCGAAACAAAGAAACCGAGAAGAAGCGUGCUUAUUUGACAUUGGAGGAACUGAAACAGCUGUCUGAUGAUACCAAUACAUACAAAGCCAUAGGAAGAACGUAAGUUUUGAACCGAAGUCUAUCAUGUUGCUGUUAUCUGAAAAAAGGAAAAGGAUAUGUGGAUCAUAUACAUUAUUGUCCUGGAAUUCUCAAAUUUCUCUGCUUUUGUACUUAUCUCACUCUGAACAAUCUUUUAUGUUCAGGUUUGUCUUAGAGCCAAAGGCUGUGUUAAUGAAUGAGCAAGAGCAAAAACUCAAGGAUGGUGAAACUGCAAUUGCCUCUUUGCAGACUUCUAAAGAGUAUUUGGAAAAGCACAUGGCGGAGGUGGAGAAUAACCUUAGGGAGCUCUUGCAACAAGAUCCUGGUCUUGCUCGUCAGAUAAUGACUAUGUAAAGACUACAUUGUGUACUGGCUGUAUGAGGAACUUAUCCACCUGAUUUCUGGCACUUCAACUAUUGCUGCUGUGUUGGUCGUAAAUCGUAAUGCUUGCAUCUAUUGGACCUGGAGUUGGUCUAGAGACUGCUGCGAGUCAAGUUGUAAUUCAUUAGAAAUGUUGUGUAUUAGCUACCUUAACAAUUUUGUGGGCUUGAAUUUCCAAAUAAUUAAGGAAACAAGUGGUUGGAUGCA